rnacentral:tRNA from 2 species
GUUCUUGUAGUUGAAUAACAACGGUGGUUUUUCAAGCCAUUAGUCCUGGUUAGAUCCCGGGCAGGAAUU